rnacentral:rRNA from 1 species
GAGGUGUUAGGUUAAGUCCUGCAACGAGCGCAACCCCUGUCACUAGUUGCCAUCAUUAAGUUGGGGACUCUAGUGAGACUGCCUACGCAAGUAGAGAGGAAGGUGGGGAUGACGUCAAAUCAUCACGGCCCUUACGCCUUGGGCCACACACGUAAUACAAUGGCCGGAACAGAGGGCAGCUACACAGCGAUGUGAUGCAAAUCUCGAAAGCCGGUCUCAGUUCGGAUUGGAGUCUGCAACUCGACUCUAUGAAGCUGGAAUCGCUAGUAAUCGCGCAUCAGCCAUGGCGCGGUGAAUACGUUCCCGGGUCUUGUACACACCG